UUGCAGCUUGGAGAGCCUGUGUUCUGCGGCAGGCAGCCUCCGUUUCUUGAAGGAAAAAGGAAGGACAGACUUGCAGAGAGAGGUGAUUGAAUCAUGGAAGGUGGAGUAGUAUGCUGGUGUGUAUGUGUACCCCAUUUUUGAUGAUCUCUUGGUUUCUUGACCUGAACCAGUGAUUGGAUUUAACCAAGAUUGGUGAUUCUUGCGGGUUGCCAGAGCUGUGAUUUGAAGAUUUU
rnacentral:misc_RNA from 1 species